GACGAACGCUGGCGGCGUGCUUAACACAUGCAAGUCGAACGGAAAGGCCCUGCUUUUGUGGGGUGCUCGAGUGGCGAACGGGUGAGUAACACGUGAGUAACCUGCCCUUGACUUUGGGAUAACUUCAGGAAACUGGGGCUAAUACCGGAUAGGAGCUCCUGCUGCAUGGUGGGGGUUGGAAAGUUUCGGCGGUUGGGGAUGGACUCGCGGCUUAUCAGCUUGUUGGUGGGGUAGUGGCUUACCAAGGCUUUGACGGGUAGCCGGCCUGAGAGGGUGACCGGCCACAUUGGGACUGAGAUACGGCCCAGACUCCUACGGGAGGCAGCAGUGGGGAAUAUUGCACAAUGGGCGGAAGCCUGAUGCAGCAACGCCGCGUGCGGGAUGAAGGCCUUCGGGUUGUAAACCGCUUUCGCCUGUGACGAAGCGUGAGUGACGAUAAUGGGUAAAGAAGCACCGGCUAACUACGUG
rnacentral:rRNA from 1 species